AUACCGCCGCUAUUCAACAAGGAUGGAAGCUGUCCGUUGGAGGAAAAGUAUCUGCCCAGUAUAUCCGUAUAUUUCCGUUCCGUCCGUCCAGUAUUCGAUGACAAAACGGAAUGUCAUUUUUUUACGGAACGAUAUUUUUUACUGUAUACAGAAUACCGUGCCAUGUGUGAAGUCGCUCAUACAACUAC